UAGUCAUAUGCUUGUUUCAGGGAUUAACCCAUGCAAGCCUAAAAGUAACUGGAUUAAAAGGAGGUCUGCAAACGGCUCAUUAUAUCAGUGAUUUUCUACCGGGAAAAUCGCAGGUAACACUGCUUCAUGGAUAACAUCGCGAAACGCGAUGCUAAUACAUGUUAAAACGUGGCUCUUGUCAUCAAACUGCUUGGGGAAAACCCUAGGCAGGGCAAGUGCUUCGCGAAUAGUUGGUACAAAAACCAACGCCAGCAAUGGCAGUGUCCUAAAGCGAUAAAUCAAACUAUUCACCAUAAGCGUGCAUUACCACGCAAAUCCCAAAAAAUCUCUGCCCUAUCACCUUUUGACGGUAGUGUAGGGAACUACCGGGGCUAUAACGGGUACGGGAAAUUAAAAUUCAAUUCCGGAAAGGGAGCCUGAAAGAUAGCUACCACUUCUACGGAGGGCAGCAGGCGCGUAAAUUGCCCAAUGCCAAACUGGCGAGGCAGCGAAAAGAAAUACCGUCCCCCCCUCAAUGAGUGUGGGGAUUGCAAUGGGUGGUAUUUAAACCAACCAACGAGUAACAAUU
rnacentral:rRNA from 1 species